AGUGUAAAACCUAAUAUUGAUAUAGUAAUGUGAAACUUUAUUUUACUAAACUACAAUUUUCUUGCUGCCUCUUCCAUCUGCCAGUCAAUUAUUACAUCUUUCAUUAAGAUCAUGUUAAGACAUAUUUAGUGUACAUAAAAAUGUCUUGAAAAUCCCAGUUGACUUCACAGUACACGCUAACUUUGGAAGCGUUGUGCAACCAACUAAGUCCAAACAAAGGGCCCUGUGUCUAUUUGAAUUUUGAGACAAAACACAAAGUUCUCGGGGAUUAGUAUCAUGAUUAAAUAUAUCCCUUGACACUUACAGAAAGUGUAUAUAUGUUUACAGACAAAAGGUGUUUCAAAAGUAGAAUUACUGUUAUCGUUCCCAUUUCUUAUUGUUAUUAUUUGCCAGGAUGUCAUAAGGUACAGUAAUAGGGGAUGAAAACAAAUCUUCGUGUAAAAAUCAUAACUUUGUACUCUUACUGGAAACUGGGGGAAAAAAUGAAAGAGUCCAGGUAGGGAUUUAUAGAGAGAGCAUUUACAAAUUCUUUAUGGAUUUUCACUAAAUGUUUACUAACUGCUCUGGACACGUAUGCUGAGGUCUCUUCACAACAGUGCACCUGAGAAACACAAAGAUUAAGAAAAUAAGAGACCAUUUUUAUGUCAGAGCUUUUUUGCUCUUUGUAGUAAUUUAGACGACCCAACCACAACCACAGGAGACUCCAGCAGGAACUACGUAGAAUGAGGCAAAGGUGCUCUCUCUUUGAGGAAGGAAGGAAGGGGUUGGUUUUAUGCCUCAUGGGGUCUUAUUACACAAUAGACUCACACAUGGUCUGCAAGUUUGGGGGAAAAGCUAUACAUAUUUAAGAGGAGAGUGGAACGCAUGUGCAAUGGGUGAAUGUGUAUGUAACAUACAUCCCGUGUUCACUUUGGGGCAGGGUUUCAGCAUUAAAAUGAGGUGGGAUUAGCCCUUUAUGUCAACAGAUGAACUGCAGGAAACAAAAACAGUUUGUGCACAGCCUCUAUAAGCUGCUGAAGCUGCCUUCAAGUCUGCCAUUGUUUAUCAGAAAAGAAUGUUUGUAAAGCUAUCAGAAUGGUAGUGGUCUGGGUUGCAAAUCAGAGCUUUGAGGGGUCUGAUAGCAACCAUUGUGAGGGAGCUUAGCGAGUGUGGUUUGUUUUGUACCUGUGUAAAUUUGGAAAUUUGCCACACCAGCCAGGCUCUGAACCUUUGAGACAUAGGUAACUCCGUUCCCUUUAGCUUAGGGUCCAUGUUUGUCGAUAUAGGGGUGUCUAUUUCGAUCUCUCAUAUCACAGACAUGAUGAUAUUGUGGCAGCUGUACCACAUCCCUGCCACAGAAGCAGCUGUUCUAUCAAGACAAGGACCUGCCAUCCCUGCCGCUGCAUUGGUUAGAAUAAGUCAGUCACAGGUCUCACCACUCUAGAGGAGGCCACCACUCUAGGAUGGGAUUCCUGCGGUCGCUUCUCAGCGUCUCUCACCAUCUAGACAGCACAAGUCAUAGGGGCAUGGAGCCCCCGAUCGCAGGUCUGCAACUGAAUUUUGCCCGUAGAUCAUUUAGUGGGAGAGUCAAAGUGCCAAAAUAAACAUUGUGUUACACGCAGAUUCCACAAUAU
rnacentral:lncRNA from 10 species